UUUCACAAUGUCGGCCCAAUCCGGGGCCUUCUAUCACCACCUAGAAUUCUACACCAUUCCAUGCCCCAAUUUUGCGCCGCACGAUCACAUAUAUCUCAAAACCCUACACCCCAUCUUCAGCCUUUAUAAGUGCCGUUCAUCCCCUCGCUCCGUUAAUUGAUUCCUUAGCCCCUGUCUGGUCGUACUUAUAUGGGAUUUUUAGCAAUUUUUGGACCGUUACACCAUGCAAACCAAUGUCAGUCACAAAUGUGGGGAAAAGAAGUAGCAAUCGUCUUAUUUUUAUUUUGAAUUACCAGAAAUGUCAGCUUGGAAUUGAAUGUAAAAAUAAAGGGGCACAUAGGUAAUUUUUUCACUUUAAUUAUCAGGUUAGGAAGUAGUCAAUAAUUGCUAGUCGUAUGGGAUUUUCUUGCACUGUAUAACGGUCAAAAAACUGCUUAAAAUUUUAAAAUAAAUGCGACCAGAAUGACUUAAUGAGAUUAGAGCAGAAAAUCAGCAAGGAAGAGAGAGAGGAGCUAGAAAGCAAGAGAGAGAUGCAGAAAAGCCAAGCCUAAAGUAGAUUGGACGAGAUCAAGGGAAGGUAAACUAUGGCACUUUCAUAUGCAAUGGUCCGGCUAUCAAGCAGUAGGUGUCCAAAGCGAGAACCUAAGCGCUUUAGCUGUCUAAAGAAAGGAAAUGGAGUCUCUUUAGAAAGUUCAUCAAUUGCAAUUUGUAUUUUUUGAUUUCAUGUAAUUUGUAAUGCAACAAUAAAAGCAUAUUAUGAACAAUGGCAUUGCAGGAGACAAUCUAAUUAAUGUAUUUUGUGCCCAAAGA